GACUGCAAUUGCAACAUUAGAUACAUUGGUUUAGGCAAGACAAAUGGGGGGUGUUUCCAGCUAAAUCAAGCAUUACCUCAGUAAAGAACACCUCUAUAGACUAUAAGAAACAGGAAGUGAAAUGUGAUUUGUUCAUUAUUUCAUACAACAGUUUAGACUAUAUCUUGACACAAGAUGCUAUGUAUUUCAGAUCUCCAUAAAGCAGUUCCGUUUGGUUCUCACUUCUCAGCUUGUCACUUGAACUAAAAUUGUCCCAAUUAGUCCUUCUUGUCGACAUCAGCCUCAGAUUUGACUACAGAUUCAACAGCAGCAGUCUCUGAAGGGGCAUCAGCACCAGCCUCGGAACCUUUUGACGGACCAUCAUAUUCCGAUGGCUUGGCGCUCCCUGAAGCAUCAUCCUCGCCUGGCUUAGCUUCACCAUCAGUAGUUGCUUCAAUAGUUUCGUCAUUAGCUUGCCCAUCAUUUACUGGCACUGCCUGCUUCACAGUACCAACUUUGACAUAUUUGCUCAUGAAUUUGUACUCCCAAUCUUGCAAGGCAUCAAGCUCAAAUGCACCAAGGCCAGAAAUAUCCCCUGUGAGAUCUUUUUCCUCAAAGGACAGCUUGGCAAGAGCUCUACUAGCAUCCUUUCCAGCAAACAAUGCAUAAGGUCCCCCAGGUCCAUAAAACAUUCUGCUCUGUGAAACAUCAUAGAUCUGACCCUUAAUUGCCAUCAACAAAGGCUUCUUUGAAUCCGACCCAUCAUACUGCUUCAACUCCUCUCCAGAAAUCUCUCCAAGUUGAACUGGUGGUGGCAGAGGCUUCUGUUCCUCGAAAUCUCUAGGCCUCUGUUGAUGACGAUUAUCAGGUGAACCAAACAACUCGGAUACAACAUAGUAGAAAGCAAGCGCUAGAGCAACAAGGGUAAAAAAAGUAGUCGGAGCUAGACCAGUGUAAGCUGUAAUAGAAUCUUUCAAUGUUUCCCAUAGUUCUACAGCCAUAAUUGAAGAAGAAGUUGAAAUCUUUUGCUUCUACUGUUGGGCGAGAUAAACAAAGAGAAG
rnacentral:misc_RNA from 1 species